GCCGGGCAUGGUGGCGCACGCCUGUGAUCCCAGUGGCUAGGGAGGCUGAGGCAGGAGAUGGUGAGUUCAAAGCCAGCCUCAGCAAAAGCAAGGCUAUGAGCAACUCAGUGAGACCCUGUCUCUA
rnacentral:sRNA from 1 species